AAGGUUUCCUUCACAUAAUUGAGC
rnacentral:siRNA from 1 species